UGGGGAAUAUUGGACAAUGGGCGCAAGCCUGAUCCAGCCAUGCCGCGUGAGUGAUGAAGGCCUUAGGGUUGUAAAGCUCUUUCAGUGGGGAAGAUAAUGACGGUACCCACAGAAGAAGCCCCGGCUAACUUCGUGCCAGCAGCCGCGGUAAUACGAAGGGGGCUAGCGUUGUUCGGAUUUACUGGGCGUAAAGCGCACGUAGGCGGAUUGUUAAGUCAGGGGUGAAAUCCUGGAGCUCAACUCCAGAACUGCCUUUGAUACUGGCAAUCUCGAGUCCGGAAGAGGUAAGUGGAACUCCUAGUGUAGAGGUGGAAUUCGUAGAUAUUAGGAAGAACACCAGUGGCGAAGGCGGCUUACUGGUCCGGAACUGACGCUGAGGUGCGAAAGCGUGGGGAGCAAAACAGGAUUAGAUACCCUGGUAGUCCACGCCGUAAAACUAUGAGAGCUGGCCGUUGGAGGGUUUACCCUUCAGUGGCGCAGCUAACGCAUUAAGCUCUCCGCCUGGGGAGUACGGUCGCAAGAUUAAAACUUAAAGGAAUUGACGGGGUCAUAGCUGUUUCCU
rnacentral:rRNA from 1 species